CGAUAGCCCUUUCCUAUCAUUAAAAAUAUGAUAGUGAUGUGCAUCAAAGAAAAAAAAGCUGCAAAAAUGAUCUUUUUGAUGUUAUUGUGUUACAAACCUUUUACUGACGAAAUAUAAGCCUAAGAUAGCUCUUUCCUACCUACAACCGUUAAAAUUAUGUCACAAACUUCAUACUUAGAAAAUUUAAGUUGACUAUCGCUCUUUCCC
rnacentral:lncRNA from 1 species